rnacentral:rRNA from 1 species
CCUACGGGCGGCAGCAGUGAGGAAUAUUGGUCAAUGGGCGUAAGCCUGAACCAGCCAAGUCGCGUGAGGGAUGAAGGCCCUAUGGAUUGUAAACUUCUUUUAUAAGGGAAUAAAGUGCGGGACGUGUCCCGUUUUGUAUGUACCUUAUGAAUAAGGAUCGGCUAACUCCGUGCCAGCAGCCGCGGUAAUACGGAGGAUCCGAGCGUUAUCCGGAUUUAUUGGGUUUAAAGGGAGCGUAGGCGGCUUUUUAAGUCAGUGGUGAAAGUUUGCGGCUCAACCGGAAAAUUGCCGUUGAAACUGGCAGGCUUGAGUAUAGUUGAGGCAGGCGGAAUGCGUGGUGUAGCGGUGAAAUGCUUAGAUAUCACGAAGAACCCCGAUUGCGAAGGCAGACUACUAAACCGUAACUGACACUGAUGCUCGAAAGCGUGGGUAUCAAACAGGAUUAGAUACCCUUGUAGUC